rnacentral:tRNA from 1 species
GCCCUGGUGGUGGAAUGGUAGACACCGGAGACUUAAAAUCUCCUGCUCGAAAGAGCGUGCCGGUUCGAGUCCGGCCCAGGGCACCA